AUAAUGAUACUUCAAUAGUUUAAGCCGGCUCGUCUUAAUAGGGGGCGGUGGUGAGAUUCCAAUGU
rnacentral:ncRNA from 1 species